AAUCAACGCUGGCGGCGUGCCUCAGACAUGCAAGUCGAACGAUUAAAGCUCUCUUCGGAGAGUGUAUAGAGUGGCGCACGGGUGAGUAACACGUAAGUAAUCUACCUUCGAGUGGGGAAUAACGUCCGGAAACGGACGCUAAUACCGCAUAAUGCAGCGGCAUCGCAAGAUGACAGUUGUUAAAGAUUUAUCGCUUGAAGAGGAGCUUGCGGCGGAUUAGCUAGUUGGUAAGGUAAUGGCCUACCAAGGCUACGAUCUGUAACCGGUCUAAGAGGACGGUCGGUCACACUGACACUGAACAACGGGUCAGACUCCUACGGGAGGCAGCAGUCGGGAAUUUUGGGCAAUGGGCGAAAGCCUGACCCAGCAACGCCGCGUGAAGGAUGAAGU
rnacentral:rRNA from 1 species